rnacentral:rRNA from 1 species
AACGCGAAGAACCUUACCUGGGCUCGAAAUGUACAUGAAUCCGGCAGAAACGUCGGCGUCUCGCAAGAGACAUGUAUAUAGGUGCUGCAUGGCUGUCGUCAGCUCGUGUCGUGAGAUGUUGGGUUAAGUCCCGCAACGAGCGCAACCCUUAUCUUCAGUUGCUACCAUUUAGUUGAGCACUCUGACGAAACCGCCUCGGAUAACGGGGAGGAAGGUGGGGAUGACGUCAAGUCCUCAUGGCCUUUAUGUCCAGGGCUACACACGUGCUACAAUGGCCGGUACAAACCGCUGCAACCCCGCGAGGGUGAGCUAAUCGGAAAAAGCCGGCCUCAGUUCGGAUUGGAGUCUGCAACUCGACUCCAUGAAGCUGGAAUCGCUAGUAAUCGUGGAUCAGCAUGCCACGGUGAAUACGUUCCCGGGCCUUGUA